rnacentral:lncRNA from 1 species
GAAAAGAACAGCUUUUCUCCUUUUGAACAGAAAGGCACAGAAGAGAGGCCAUGAGCACACCAGCAGCAGAGAAGCAGAGGGAGAGGGAGGCACAGAUUCCUCGAUGAGCAGAGAGUCCAGCAUGAGGUUCAGUUCCAGCACCCUGGGAUCAUGACCUGAGCAGAAAGCAGACACUUAGCUGACUGAGCCACCCAGGUGCCCCUAGACUAUGUUGAAGUCCAGCUCUCCC